AUCCCUAUAGUAAUUUGGGAGAAAAUAACAUGUUUUAGAGGCUAAAUUCAAUUGAUUGCAACUGAAACACAAGAUGGCGGGGUUCCGAGAGAGCGAAAAACAACGUUUCCCACUUCAAAGUAUCCAGGAUGUGGUUGAUUUAUUCAGGGAUCAGUUGACUGGCAGUGAGGAACCUAAUUUACCACUUCUGUCUAUUGUUCUUGGGGCGAUAGAAAAUGUUUUGACAGUUAAUAGGGCGUUGCCAGGUGAGAUUGAUCACUCUAAAUCGCUGGAACCAAUUUUCCCGGUGAUUGAGUUGGAGACAGUGGAAGCGCUCUACGAAAAAUUUGUGACGCACGUGAAACGAUCUGUUGAUCUCACCAAAUUCCCAAGUGAAGUUGCCACGAGGGAGUUAGUGAAACUUGUCUCGGAUGUAAUAUGGAGUUCUUUAAUGCGAAGCUUUUACAAAGACAAAGCACACCUUCAGUCGCUAUACAGUUUUUUGACUGGUAACAAGCUUGACUGUUUUGGUGUAGCGUUUGGCGUGGUGGCUGCGUUUCAAGUCCUUGGCUACAAAGAUGUUCACCUUGCCCUGUCUGAGGAUCAUGCCUGGGUCACAUUUGGUCAGGACUUGUCGGAGAGUGCAGAAGUCACAUGGCAUGGGAAAGGUAAUGAAGACAAACGAGGGCAGCCAAUCACAAUGGGAGUGUCAGAAAAAAGCUGGCUCUAUCUCAACGGCCAACCUGUCCUCUGUACACGCCAGAUGGAGGUGGCAUCCAUUGUCAGUGGUAUCAACCCCUCCAUUAGUGCUACUGUGGACAGUGUGGAAAUGGGCUCACUUCAACAGGAGUUGCUGUGGCUGCUUUAUGAUAUGGACCAUCUGUCAAGAUACCCAAUGGCGCUUGGUAACCUUGGUGAUCUGGAGGAGAUAUCACCAACUCCUGAUCGGCCGCCGCCUAUCGACCUGUUUAACGAGGCUAUACAGUCGACACAGGAACAUUACAACAACCAACACGUGUAUCCUUACACAUACCUAGGAGGAUACCUGUGUCGGAAAGGAAAUUACAAGAGGGCGCUGCAGGCUUGGGCAGACGCAGCAGAUGCUGUCCGAAAUUACAACUAUAAUCGUGAAGACGAGGAAAUCUACAAAGAAUUCCUGGAAAUCGCUAAUGAUCUCAUUCCACAUAUGAUGAAAACUGUUGCCAGUGACAAUGCAGCACGAAUUCAUCACACCUCAUUGUUGUAUGACCCAGACUGUUACGCCAACUUCCUGCGGUUUUAUGAUGGUAUCUGUGAGUGGGAGGAAGGCAGUCCUACCCCGGUAUUACACAUCACAUGGGCCAAGCAACUUGUAUUCUCAUUGUCCAAGUUUGAUGUCAGUGUCCGUGAGCACAUUGAGGUCAAGGGUGAAGGGCUUGAGGAGGAUUCCUCCUCCAGCGAGGAGGAGGAGAUGGAGGAGGAAGUGAAUGGUCGACGGGGAGAGGAAGGAGAGGAUAAAGCUGUGGAGGAUACAGAGCCAUCAAAUAGCCGUAGACCUGGCAGGAGAGGACGACGACCCAAAAUAAACAACAGUGAACCAGAGAACAAGGUAUCAGAUAUCAAGGUGAACGGGAAAUCAAACGAGGAUCAGAUUAAAUCGGCCAUUGAGGAUUUAGUUAAUAAAGUUGGGGAUGAGGGACAGAGUGAUGCUACAAAUCCCAAUAUCGCAGCGCUUGCUCAAGCAUGCAGUGAGUCUAUCCUCAACCCCGAGUAUUUACUGGGGGGUGGAGACCCGUUCACUACCGCUACCAGUACCACAACGGUAACAUCCACCACCACAUCUGCUGAUUCUCGCAUAGAUAUGCACGAUUUCCUCAGCUCUAAGUCAAAUGGCUCGCCUUUCAUGGGUAUGACAAUGGACUCUAUGCUCAAGGCAGAGAGCCCUUCCGACAUGAUCAUGUUUCGGAAACGACCAAGUUCAUCAAACACAAGGACACCAACACCUGUCUCAGAAAUGGCUCCAUCUCUCACACAAGUUAGCACCACUCCCACAAAGGCUGUCCCCACCCAUCUUCUGGGUCCACCAACGUUGGUGUGUCUCCGCAGUGAAAAAAUGAAAGGACUGAAAAAGAUUUUCUCUUCGGCAAAAUUGAACGCUAGUGCAAUAAAACUCCAACUGACAGCACAGUCUCAAGUUCAUUUCAAGCACAGCAAACGCAGCACAGAUUCUGAACUUGCCACUCAUCGGAAGCGAUCACGGCGAGAGUAGCCCAGCCUCAUCUGGCUUGUUAUACUGUUAAAAACAACUAUUGCUUGCUUACUUUAUAAUCCAUGUGGUUUGUUGAUGAAGUGCUAUAUAAACAUGACUUUUUACUGUGGAAUCAUAGGGGAAGGGGAAAUAAAGUACUCCUGUACGGGGCAAGUGACCUUUUGAAAUGUACUCCAUGAAUUGCCCAGACAUUAUCACCAAAUAUUGCUUCACAUGUAUAUUUCGACCCAUGUAUAUGGUGUGCAAUUUGAAACGAAAGUGGUGGGAAUUCUCAUAAGGAAGUCAUGGCAUUGUACUGUUUGAAAAUUGCAAUAGAUCUGUUUUGUAAAUUAUACUGGCCUGUUACAUGUAUUGAACAGACAUAACUAUGUUUAAUGACCUUGUAUAUUUUGCUCAGUGUCAUCAGGAUGAACAGGUACUUUCCCUACCCCUAUUGUGUGUGAUUGCAUUGUUUAGGGCAGAUUUACAGUAUUUGAAGAAAACUAGGGCAGCGAGUGUGUUCAGUAUUAAGGAAAAAGAAAAAGGUUUGUUUGGAGGUAGAAAAUCUCUUGGGUAUGACACUUUUGAUAUCUUUAUCCUUAUGUAUUUUGUUGGUUAAGGAUGAGAGGCUACAAGUGAUUUGACAUUGAGCUCAGAGUAUUUGCUGCCCAUCAUCCUUACUCUGACAGAAUUCACAACACGUAACAAGGGAUGUGCAAUUAUCUUACUUGUGGCACUAAAUAGACAAAUAACAGAAUUGAAAAAAAAAAACAUUUGCAUUGAAUUUAAUUAGAAUAGAAGUAUAUAAUCAAAUCAUAGGGCAAUGGUUGGUUUACACAAGUGUAAGAAUAGAAUGGUUUACCUGAUAAGUGACUGGACAUCAAACUAGAAUUUCUAUAAAUAUUAUUCAUCUUUAAUAGAUUUUCAAUCAUCACAUGUUAUGUCACCUUUGAGGAUGUCUAGCGGUCUAUUAAUUAAUGAUCAACCUUUGAGGAUGUCUAGCGGUCUAUUAAUUAAUGAUCACUCGCCUUUGAGGAUGUCUAGCAGUCUAUUAAUUAAUGAUCAACCUUUGAGGAUGUCUAGUGAUCUAUUAAUUAAUGAUCAACCUUUGAGGAUGUCUAGUGGUCUAUUAAUUAAUGAUCACUCGCCUUUGAGAAUGUCUAGCGAUCUAUUAAUUAAUGAUCACUCGCCUUUUAGGAUGUCAAGCGGUCUAUUAAUUAAUGAUCAACCUUUGAGGAUGUCUAGUGAUCUAUUAAUUAAUGAUCAACCUUUGAGGAUGUCUAGCGGUCUAUUAAUUAAUGAUCAACCUUUGAGAAUGUCUAGCGGUCUAUUAAUUAAUGAUCACUCGCCUUUGAGAAUGUCUAGCGAUCUAUUAAUUAAUGAUCACUCACCUUUGAGGAUGUCUAGCAGUCUAUUAAUUAAUGAUCACCUAUGUUAUUUCAACUUUGGAGAUGUAGGUCUAUUAAUUAAUGAUCACUAUUGUUACAUGUCAUGCAUCAUCCGUCCGUACACAAUUUAGGCUUCACACAACCACUGUACCAAUUUAUAUAUGAUUUUGUAGGAACCUUCCAAGGCCAACAGGAACUAAAAUUAAAGUUAAACCUGGAAUGUUCUGUCAUGAAAUUAUUUUGUAAAUGUUAAACAUACUUCAUUUUCAGUUCAGACAAAGGGAUUUUGAUCAAAUAAGGUCUGCAGCAUCAUUUGAUGAAUGCAAUUCAGUGUUAAUUGAGGUUCAGGCCUGUAUGGUAGUGAGUGUUGUUAAUGGAGGUUAGGCCUGUAUGGUAGUGAGUGUUGUUUAUGGUGGUUCAGGCCUGUAUGGUAGUGAGUGUUGUUUAUGGAGGUUCAGGCCUGUAUGGAAGUGAUUGUUGUUAAUUGAGGUUCAGGCCUGUAUGGUAGUGAGUGUUGUUAAUGGUGGUUCAGGCCUGUAUGGUAGUGAGUGUUGUUAAUGGAGGUUCUGGCCUGUAUGUUGGUGAGUGUUGUUAAUUGAGGUUCAGGCCUGUAUGGUAGUGAGUGUUGUUUAUGGUGGUUCAGGCCUGUAUGUUGGUGAGUGUUGUUAAUGGAGGUUCAGGCCUGUAUGGUAGUGAGUGUUGUUAAUGAUGGUUCAGGCCUGUAUGGUAGUGAGAUUGAGGCAGAUCCCAAAAGUGGGGGAAUCUUUGUAAUAUUUCAUUUUAAUAUUACUGCCAAUAAGACUGAUUUGCCAUGUUAAUGAGAGAUCCAGUGUUUCAGGCUCUCUUAGCCUCAUGUUGGUAGAAAGUAAUUCAAACUUUAUGAUGGUAAUUGACCUACAUGCACCAUGAGCUAAAAACAAAGAGGAUGUUUAAAUUCUAUUUAGAGAUACUCUGUAAAUAUGUUUAACAUGAAAUGCAUUAUUUAGAAAUAGAAUGUCUGCAUUUGGAAUAUCUUCACAUAGAGUGUCAUUGGACUGCAACAAGUUCUUAAAAGGACUGGUGCACUUAUUAGGUCAACUACAGUAUGUAAGAUAUCAUUUGAUGGCUGUUUGAUUGU